rnacentral:rRNA from 1 species
CCUACGGGAGGCAGCAGUGGGGAAUUUUGGACAAUGGACGCAAGUCUGAUCCAGCCAUGCCGCGUGCGGGAAGAAGGCCUUCGGGUUGUAAACCGCUUUUGUCAGGGAAGAAAAGGUUCUGGUUAAUACCUGGGACUCAUGACGGUACCUGAAGAAUAAGCACCGGCUAACUACGUGCCAGCAGCCGCGGUAAUACGUAGGGUGCAAGCGUUAAUCGGAAUUACUGGGCGUAAAGCGUGCGCAGGCGGUUAUGCAAGACAGAGGUGAAAUCCCCGGGCUCAACCUGGGAACUGCCUUUGUGACUGCAUAGCUAGAGUACGGUAGAGGGGGAUGGAAUUCCGCGUGUAGCAGUGAAAUGCGUAGAUAUGCGGAGGAACACCGAUGGCGAAGGCAAUCCCCUGGACCUGUACUGACGCUCAUGCACGAAAGCGUGGGGAGCAAACAGGAUUAGAUACCCUGGUAGUCCACGCCCUAAACGAUGUCAACUGGUUGUUGGGAGGGUUUCUUCUCAGUAACGUAGCUAACGCGUGAAGUUGACCGCCUGGGGAGUACGGCCGCAAGGUUGAAACUCAAAUGAAUUGACCGGNNGAGAGNGCGAGACGACGACGAGGAGGAGG